CACCGCGCGGGCUGGACAGAGCAGGGCCGCCGCCGCUGCCGCUGCGUUUAGAAGUAUCUGGAAAGUUCGCCGAAAAGCGAUAUCAAUGGGUCGCGAGGACUAAAAUAGUGUGCGCGCGCGAGUUCUGGAUUACCCACAGUGACUGGACUGACACGUAGCCUACUAGCGGGUUUGUGUAUUUGUUGAACACACCGCUCGGCGUACGGACCGGAGUCCAGGGUGGCUGUCGUGGGCUUUCACUUGGGGUUUCACAAGUGGUGUAUUGCUGUGUUCUAAAACGAAGGGAUUGAGACCAUGUCCAAUGAAUUUACAGACAGGUGCACGCCGUCAUGUACCAGGAGCACCAUUUCCACCAUCGAGCAGCUCACGGCUGUGUUGUUGGCUAAACUGAAAGACAAUGCAGAAGCUAAUGUGCUGAAGAAAGUGGUGGAAAAGGAGGUCUGUGCUGGAUGCUGCCAAGAUUGCCGGCUAGAACUGCCUGAAGCUAAUGAAUGACAGCACUGCAGUGGCGUUAAACUAUGGCAGGCUGUGAUGAGAAUCCAAAGAUUGUGGCAGUUGUGGACAUGGGCCACUCAGCUCUCCAGGUGUCUGUUUGUGCUUUCAACAAAGGCUAAGAUGAGGUGCUGUCAACCGCCUUUGAUCCUUAUUUGGGAGGGAAAGACUUUGAUCAGAGGCUGGUGGAAUACUUCUGGGCUGAAUUUAAGUCUAGGUGUUGCAACUGACACAAGAAUGUGUGAGAAAAUCAAAAAUCCAAUGAGAAGCAACUCCACAGACAUUCUCCUCAGUACUGAGUGCUUUAUGGACAUUAAAGACGUGUGUGGUGAAAUGAACAGGUAUGUGACUGUAGUGUUAUUUAGAGCUAUGAAUUGUUAAUGCACAAUAUAUUUGUAAAA